rnacentral:sRNA from 1 species
CCCCCACCCCGCUCCUCCCCGGGCUCCGGCCCGGGAUCCCUCGCUGCUCCCGGCGGCCUCCGCCGGCUUCCCGGUCCACCCGCCGCGGAACGGACGGGACCCGGGGUCCGCGCCCUUCCCCUCCCCCCACGGGGGGCUGGGUCGCGGACCCCGGUUCCUAGGCUCGUUCCGCGGUGGGCGACCGGGGAUCCCCCACCCCGCUCCUCCCCGGGCUCCGGCCCGGGAUCCCUCGCUGCUCCCGGCGGCCUCCGCCGGCUUCCCGGUCCACCCGCCGCGGAACGGACGGGACCCGGGGUCCGCGCCCUUCCCCUCCCCCCACGGGGGGCUGGGUCGCGGACCCCGGUUCCUAGGCUCGUUCCGCGGUGGGCGACCGGGGAUCCCCCACCCCGCUCCUCCCCGGGCUCCGGCCCGGGAUCCCUCGCUGCUCCCGGCGGCCUCCGCCGGCUUCCCGGUCCACCCGCCGCGGAACGGACGGGACCCGGGGUCCGCGCCCUUCCCCUCCCCCCACGGGGGGCUGGGUCGCGGACCCCGGUUCCUAGGCUCGUUCCGCGGUGGGCGACCGGGGAUCCCCCACCCAGCUCCCCUUCCCGGCUCGCCCCGCUGGCUUUUGGGCCCCUCCGGGCUUUUUUUCCGGCUGGGGGUCGCGGCGGCCGGCCGACGACGGUAGGUGGGCCGGGCGGACGGUGGUGGGGACGGGCGACGCCCCGGCUCGACGGCAGUCGGCCCCGGAGGGUUGGGGGCUGGGGGCCCGGUCAGGAGCUCCGGGAGCGGGGUCGACCGCGACGGCUUCCGGGUCUCGCGGCGGCUCCCUCUCGGCGGCUCCGGUUGGGCUCCCCUCCCCCCUCUCGAGGGUCCGGUCGCCGGUUGUGGUCGGGGGUCCCUCGGCCUAGCCGCCGGCUCUCGGUCCGCCUUACCCUGGGCGUUGGCCGGUCCCGUGACGCUCCCCUCCCCCGCUGCUCCCCAAAAACUCCGCCCGAACCGUCGCGGUUUGCUGGCCCUGGGCGUGGUCUCCCCACUCCCCUCCCCCCAUCGGCCGCCCAGCCGGGGUCGGCGCCUCGGACCCCACCAGGCUGUGGCGUGUGUGCUGGCCGAUGCGGCGGCGAGGUUGGGUGUGGCCGGAAGCGCUCGGGGUCGACGGUGGGCCGCCAUGACACCUCAAUUGCCGUCAGUACGCCCCUCCACAAUCACCGUCCCCACACGAUGGGCCCGGCAGUUCACCCAACGUUGGUUCAGGCCCAGUCGGGUUUUUCCCCGGUACGAACGCACGUCCCCGUGGGCUCCACGCGUUUUCCACCCUUUCCUGGAGGGGUCCGGAACACCGUGAAUCCACGGGGAGGGUCCCGGCACGGGCCGAGGAGACCACGACCGUCCCACCCGGCGUGUCGACUCGUCCGAGACCCGGGAAGGGAACAGGCCCCACCUUUUUUCCCUUCUCCGAUUUGCCGUGGAAAACCCGUGAACCGAUACGGGUGCAGACGGCCGAAAAAAUUCGAGACGGCAAUACGACGGCAGGGCGUGAUUUUCUCCCCCACCCGACAAAACCGUGUCCCUCAAAAUUCCCCACCUUUCUCUGUUCAAAUGGCCCCGAAACUGUAAAACACCGUUUGACCGCACCCCAACCGGCGCCAUCUUGGUGACCUUCUCGACGGUUCUCUCGCUCGUCAUGCCGUUCUGAGCUCCGACAUGGCGGACGAGAGAAAAUGGCGUCGAGAGCCGAGGAGCGUUUUCGCUCCAGGCGGGUAAAAAAAUAGCACGAUAACUUUUCUGUGCUUUUUUGAGACGUUUUUGAAGAGCUUUUUUUCUGCUCAGAGCGAAAAAAUGAUAGCCCUGAAAAUCUCGACGAGUCUGGCCGAGCGGCGCCAUCUUGGAGGAGGGGCGAGUCGCGGGCACCGCCUCGGUACCCCCUGGCCGAGGCGAGUCCGCGGUCGCCGCCUGUUCCGUGAUGCUACCUAGAGGGCGCCGUCGAGGCGACUCUUCCUGUUUUCGCCCUGAGGGCUAACGGUCGCUGACGUCAAACCAUCUCGUGCUCGCUGAGUCACAUCCGGUUGUUGACAAGCGAUGGAGGACCGCACCCAAAGUGCGCCCUCUAGUCAUCGCGCCUGACCCCUUUUAUAAACUGCUCGAAGAAAAGAACACCUUAUGUGAAAAAAUACAGAAUGAUGACAAGUUCAUUCAACACAACCGCUCAACAACGCCAUAUCUAUCAGUGUCCAAAAACUAUCUUCUAUCCUUUGAAACUAUAAAUGCUGCCUAUAUACAUAUUUAGUAUCCAAGACUCUUACCACGUAGACGAAAAGAAGUGAUACAAUGAUCUUGACGUGUAUCGUCUAUAUCGUGCUAGAUAUAUUCAGAUAAGACGCGCAAACCAUAGAUUUCUCAUCAGUAUCAUGAAAGACCUAUAGCUCUAUAUACGAACCUAGUCAUUUUAGGACAGCCGCCGGAGAAGCCGACGAGGGAUCGGGCGGGUGCAGCCAGAACCUCACGCCCGAUCCCGCCUCCGGUAGGCGAUUUGCAUCUGUUUGGUAAAAAGCUCAUAAGUCUGUAUGUGACCUAUAUAUAUAUUAUACGCUAUGUACACCGAACUGUCGCUGUUGUAUAAGAAGAAAAAACUCUCCAUAUUUAUAUCGUCUGAAUUUUUGCUUGAUAGACACGUGUUUGGAACUCUGUCCCCCCACGUUUUCACUGUGUAUAACAAAAAUAUGUGUUUCUCAAAAGAUCUUGAGGUGUUUGAAAACGGGGGAAACCUGCGUUUGGGUGCGCUAAGCCCCGGACUGGGACGUAGCCGGCGUCCGGCACCUAUAUUUUUCUAUUUUUUUUUUACAAAAUAUAUGAUGAACCAAGAAUAAAACUCUAGCUCUCGUCUAUUUUUAAUAUGCUCUACUUAGAACCUUUUUAAUGACAGAAUGAACUCCAUGUUAUACGCUCUUUAUAUAGUUUCUCUGCACUAACCUUUAAAACCGUAUCCUUCCCUGUUGUACAAAUCAUCUUUUGAUACACAAUGAUGACCUGAUAUCCCUCCAUAUAUAUGAUCGGAUAUUAUUCCGUUAGACUUGUCCUCCUUUUUUUUCCUCAUCUCCUGUAUCUGGAGAUAUAUGUUGACCACCACCGCCAUGACCACCAAAAAGCUAGCCGUCACGACUAGAAAUGUGUAGGAUUCGGACUUUCCGUUUGAGAAGAAAGAGACCGCGUCUCUGGACGCUCUUUUUGUCGGUCUGAAUCGACCCGGGAUACGUAAGAGAGCGGCCCUACAUCGGGGGGCGCUCGAGACCGACGACGUUCCAUCUGACCAGAAAAAAAAAGGCACCCCUCGGUGGCGACCUCUCACCAUCGUUUGCCCGUCCGCCCGUCCUUCGUAGCCAUCAUCAUCAUCUCAGGCUCUAUCGGUACCAUCGUUGUCAUCUGAAAAAAAAAACUGCCUCACCCACCUGCGUAAAAACACCAUCUUUCCGGAGGUGCGGUAAGACGGGCAAAUACGGUCGUGCCGAGGCAAAAAAACGCACCAUCGACACCACACCCUCAUGAGCACCACCUGUCGGUGUUGGUCGUCCUCCAUCGUUCUCUACGAACAUCUCGACGCCCGGGUGACGGACGACGGCAAGACGUCCCGGAGAAGACGGUGUUCUCUCGGGCGGUACGCUCUCUGGAUCUAUAAUAUCUAUAGUAGCUAAACGAGACUGUGAGUACGACGAACCACAUCAUCUUUUUUUUAUGUUGCUUCUUUAGAAAAUGACUUAUGUCGACGACACUCGGCAUCAGCCAUCUCGUGAAACACGCUCGCUUUUCGUCUCUCCAAGGAACACUGGGUCCGCUGAAAGGGACCGUGUACCGACCAAAGCAAAAAACACACACGUAGUAACAUGAUCAACCACGUCUGAAUGACACGAAAACACAAUCGUAUAACGCUCUAUUCAUGGAACGAACUUGGAAUAAAAAAACCAUCGCAGGCCAGAGGCUAAGCCGAAACCGUCCGGGGAAGCGGGCGCGAGUUUUCCGACUUAGUCUCUGGUGCUCGUUGAGCCUCUUUUUUUUUUCCUGAUUCUCUGAAGAAUCACCGUCACAGCCCUAUGACGCGAAAUCAAUUGCUAGAACAUAAACGUUCUCAACAGGUAUGAAAUGAACAAACUAGAUGAUGCUAUAACCUUAUAUUGUGUGUAUAUAGAUAGGUGUGAAAUUUGUAGGAUAAAAAGUGUCGUUGUAUGAUGCACAACGAUCGUGAAACUGGAGACUGUAGCUCUCUACCGAAUGCAAAUACACAAAUGACAUCGAUUCCCGUCCCCACAUAAAGAAAUGUGCUUUACUGUGAAAGAAUGAAGAAGAUUCUUGUUCCUCGUACGACGGGGCCCUCGCUCGUCGUGCCUCUUCCCCCCUCCGGGAGAGGGGACGUCGGGGCCCUCCGUCGCACCGGGCCGAAGCCAGUGAAAUGUUUACUACACUGUCAUCAGAAUAUAUGAUGUAUAUUAUUUCCUCCAAACUCCUCACCAUAGCCACCAAUUCGCAUCACUUAAGAAAGUAGUAGCAACCGCGGCGGCGGCGACCGGCCGGUCGUCGUCUCCUCGUCCUCAAAUGUUGUACAUGUGCAGAAAAAUGUGUAAAUACGUGUUAUUUAUCCCAUGCGUCUUGUACAUAGAUAUAUGUUUUUAUAUACGCUAUUUAUACUUUAUAUAUCCUUUUGCAUAACCAUAGACAGUCAAGGAUUUUAAUGAUUUGCUCAUCCGCCUUUGAGCCAUCGCUUAGGAGUUAGUUCCUCUAUGUUCUCGGCCCACCUUUUCGACUACAGUAGCAAACCCUUGUACUACCACCCCGAUAAAAACCACAUCAUCAUCGUCACCACGACCUGGAAACGACACACGUUCCCCCCCAAUCUUGGGCAUGUGUAUAUAUAAAAAGAAUGGGAGGGAGAGGACGUGGGGCUCGAGAAGAAAUAAACGCCAAGCUCGAUUCGAACC